rnacentral:rRNA from 1 species
GUGAGGAAUAUUGGUCAAUGGGCGGGAGCCUGAACCAGCCAAGUCGCGUGAAGGAAGAAGGAUCUAUGGUUCGUAAACUUCUUUUGCAGGGGAAUAAAGUGCAGGACGUGUCCUGUUUUGUAUGUACCCUGAGAAUAAGGAUCGGCUAACUCCGUGCCAGCAGCCGCGGUAAUACGGAGGAUCCGAGCGUUAUCCGGAUUUAUUGGGUUUAAAGGGUGCGUAGGUGGGUUGAUAAGUCAGCGGUGAAAGUUUGCAGCUUAACUGUAAACAUGCCGUUGAAACUGUCGGACUUGAGUGUAAAUGAGGUAGGCGGAAUGCGUGGUGUAGCGGUGAAAUGCAUAGAUAUCACGCAGAACUCCGAUUGCGAAGGCAGCUUACUAAGCUACAACUGACACUGAAGCACGAAAGCGUGGGGAUCAAACAGGAUUAGAAACCCUGGUAGUCC